UUCUAAAAGAGAAUGUUUAUAUUCUGUUCAUGUGUAAGGAUACACUUCAAAAAUCCUUUGAGGCUUCGGACUAUCUUUAUCUGGAUGUGGAAAGACCAUGUUUCUGUACUCAGUCAUCCACAGGAAAGAGGCUAAGGAGGCCCUCAGAACCAUGACACAAGAGGAAAUCCAGAGAGACAGAAUAAUGAACAUGGACGACUGCUAACAGGACAGUGAGGUCCCUGGUCUGUCAGCCUCAUCUCCCUUAGGCGCAUGUUUAGACUUCCAGGGCAUCGAUUUGUUGUGCUGAGCUCUGUUGGUUCCUUAAAGCCCACUGUUCUUUUUUUCAGAGACUGUUUCAAAGAGCCAGAUUUUUGCCAUUCACAUAUGCAGUGGGUGCAAACGUUGAUUUUCAAAGAGAGAUGAGGAAACUGAAGUCCUAAGCAGAGCACACAGGAAGGACAAAGCAGAGUCUGGAUUUGAACCCAGGCUCCCUAUCCAAGUUUCUUACAGCAUAAUGGGAAGAACCAUUCAUGUCAGCC
rnacentral:lncRNA from 1 species